GUGGGGAAUAUUGGACAAUGGGCGAAAGCCUGAUCCAGCCAUGCCGCGUGUGUGAAGAAGGUCUUCGGAUUGUAAAGCACUUUAAGUUGGGAGGAAGGGCAGUAAGUUAAUACCUUGCUGUUUUGACGUUACCAACAGAAUAAGCACCGGCUAACUUCGUGCCAGCAGCCGCGGUAAUACGAAGGGUGCAAGCGUUAAUCGGAAUUACUGGGCGUAAAGCGCUCGUAGGUGGUUUGGUAAGAUGGAUGUGAAAUCCCCGGGCUCAACCUGGGAACUGCAUCCAUAACGGCCUGACUAGAGUACGGUAGAGGGUGGUGGAAUUUCCUGUGUAGCGGUGAAAUGCGUAGAUAUAGGAAGGAACACCAGUGGCGAAGGCGACCACCUGGACUGAUACUGACACUGAGGUGCGAAAGCGUGGGGAGCAAACA
rnacentral:rRNA from 1 species